rnacentral:tRNA from 1 species
AGCGGGGUGGACUAGCCUGGGCGUGGUCGCCGGGCCCAUAACCCGGAGAUCGACGGUUCAAAUCCGUCCCCCGCUA